GGCCCAUACAUAGCUCAGUGGGAGAGCAGCAGCACUGCAAGCAGAAGGUCCCAGGUUCAAUCCCUGGCAUCUCCA